GACAGAGGUGCCGAGCGUUAGGCGGAAUCACUGGGCUUAAAGCGUGUGUAGGCGGCCCGUUAAGUGUCUUGUGAAAUCCCACGGCUCAACCGUGGAACUGCUGGGCAUACUGGACAUCUUGGAGGCACUCAAGGGCGAGCGGAACAAGUGGUGGAGCGGUGAAAUGCGGUAGAUAUCAGGAGGAACACCGGUGGCGAAGGCGGGUCUCUGGGCCGAUACUGACGCUGAGGAGCGAAAGCGUGGGGAGCGAACAGG
rnacentral:rRNA from 1 species